UCUAAGGAUGAAUGAAAGUAAAAUUUCAUUCUAAAUAAUAUACAUCGGUAAUGUUGACCGUCCUCAUUUCUCUUCUUAAAGUAAUGUUUCCUUCUUGUAGGGCCGGUAGCUCAGUUGAUUAGAGCACACCCUUGAUAAGGGUGGGGUCGAAAGUUCGAGUCUUUCUCGGCCCACCACACUUAACUGGGGGAUUAGCUCAGCUGGGAGAGCGCCUGAUUUGCAUUCAGGAGGUCAGCGGUUCGAUCCCGCUAUCCUCCACCAGGAAACAUUUAGUUAUAAAAACUGUAAAUAAAUUUAAUAAUUAAUAUCAAUAUCUAUAUCCGAACAUUAGUAAUGUUAUUAGCUAAUGUUCAAAAUAAAAAUUUGAUCACAACAUAGAUAAUUUUUCUUUUAAAAAAGAAUUUUUUUCUG
rnacentral:tRNA from 1 species